UACGAGGGGAGCAAGCGUUGUUCGGAUUUACUGGGCGUAAAGGGCGCGUAGGCGGUCGUGACAAGUCACUUGUGAAAUCUCCGGGCUUAACUCGGAACGGUCAAGUGAUACUGUCGGACUAGAGUACAGAAGGGGCAACUGGAAUUCUCGGUGUAGCGGUGAAAUGCGCAGAUAUCGGGAGGAACACCAGUGGCGAAGGCGGCUAUCUGGACGGUUUCUGACGCUAAGACGCGAAAGCGUGGGGAGCAAACAGG
rnacentral:rRNA from 1 species